GGGUGAAGGGAUGGGAGAGGGGUAAGUGAGUAAGGUUAUGGUGAAGUAUGCCAAAUUCCAGAUUUACAAGGUGCGGGAGGAAAACAUACAAAGACUGAGGUGCUCUCAGUGGUUGGACUUGAUCAUCUUAGAGGUCUUUUCCAACCUCGAUGAUUCCAUUAUUCAGGUACUUCUGGUGCAAUAGCAUGUGGUUAGGAAAUUACUCUCCUAUACCUGCAUUCCUUGUCUCCCUGCAGUGUUGUCCUAGGGGAGUUAAAGCCUUGAAUGUCUGUAGCCUCUAUGAAACCACCAAUGAGAAUGACUGAGAGUUGCAAGGAACACUUAGGAGAUCUCAGACACUGGUGUGGAAAUCUAGAAGGGUGCCACCAGACAAGGUGUUUAAAUCUGGCUGCGAGUCCAGGCUUAGGUAAAAUUAUUCUCUCCAGGCAUAAGGAUCGAUGGAUUGGGGCAUUCAAAAUGGACAGGUGACUAAGAAUUGGAUACACGAUUCAGUUUUAACAAAGUUGUACUAAUUUAAUAAAUAAAGCCAACACCAAGCUUUUAAUAUUUUUUUUUUCUAAUCUGAAUGACAGUGGCUGUUUAGAUUUACCUUAGAGCUGAAGUACUCAGAUGAGCUAUCAGCUCUUAUUUGUUGUCAAUAAAAGAACAUGUACUGUCAGCGCUAUUACGCUUCUAAUGAAUUUGGGGUUUAUAUCCUUUCAUUUGUUACAUUAGGCACUUUGCUUCCCAAAUCAAAUUACUAGUACAAUCAAUUAAUUUGGUGUAGAUUCCUGACUUUUAAUACACUUGUACUAACACAAAAAUGAGAAACAAAUCCUGGAAGAUUAUUCUGUUGCUGAAGAAUGAAUGUAUCAAAAACCUAUAUGAGCUGUAUUCAAUUUAAAUAUAAAAAGAGAAGGUAAGUUAGUAAAAACGAUGCAAGAAGUAAAUUUGAAGUGACCUUUGCUGAGGAUUUUUUUUUUAUGACCCAAGCAUAAAGCUAGAAAGAUGUUGGGCAGACUUCUCUUUGGGCAGAAUUGAAGUAUUAUGGGUGUCAUAUUCUAGAAAUUUCACUCAAGUAUCUGAAUUUCUUGGGUUUUAAUGUUUAUUUUCAAGUAUUGUUUUCAUGUUAUUGAAAAGUGAUAUUUUACAUAUAUCAUUCACGUGACCUAUAACAUCAUAACAUUUUCUUGUAAUCUUGUGGUUACAAGUUUUUCAUGAAGUGACACUACCUAGAAAUUUUUAUACAACAGGUCAUGAAGCAGGAACAGAGUGAAAAGGUAGAGGGCUACACUCCCACAACCUGUUUUAAGUCUAAAUUAAGGACAAACACAACGCAGCGCCCCUAGUAUGAACUUCUAGUAACUUUUGUUUUCCACUGAAGAAUAAGAUAAACUCUUGCAUUCUAAGGCAUAUGUACACUGUCACUAACACAUAGUCAGAUGUGGUGGUUCAGAGAUUUCACUUGAAAGUGCCAGGGAAAGUUUGCUCAUUUAAUUAAAAUUUUAUUUCAUCUUGAGCAAGUUGUUUGUGAAGCCCUAUACUGGAGUACUCUUGGUUGGGGACCAAGAUCUCUCUGUCUUCUUGCAGACUUCAGGUAAAUAGUGAAGUUAGCAAUUACUGUGCAGUAAUGUUCAAAGAUUUUUAAUUCUCAGGAUUGCAUAUCUGUAAUAUAACAUAGAAAAAGUCCUGAAAUAGACUAGUAGAAAGCUGAGUAGGAGAGGUUCACACUAGACUUCUGCUUUCACAGGUAAUGAUUAGUCAACCAUAUGAAAAUUUGGACCACCCCUCAGCAUCAAUGUUGUUGGGAGUCCGUAGCCAUUAAAUGCAGGUGCAGUUUCUACUGGUAGACUGUUGCACUGCUGGUAUAAUUUGCUGUCUGACCGUAGGUUGUGGUAUCAACACAACCUUGCUGACAUACCCUUGGUCCACAGCAGGAGUAUUUUGCCAGCAUACUAGUGUAAAACUGCCAGAGUGCUCUUGGGAUAGCCAUUAAUUUAGAUGUUAGUCAGAUAUUCGGUGUUUUGGAUGAGUCUUAGAGAAAUCAUGAUCAGCAAAGUGGCUGAGAGAGGAGUAGGUGCAAUUCCAUAAUCAUGGGAUGAUUAGGCAAUGGUCCAUCUUUUCACAGAAGAGAAACAGCAGAUUAGUACUUCUGCACUAUUUAAAAUUCUAAAGGGCUAAAACAAAGCGUGUCGUUCUGAUAUCACACCCAAUUAGGGGAGGUAUGAAUGAACACUUAACUGCCAAUUAGCUUGAAUAUAUCCAUGGCAUUUUCAGAAUGUGCAAACAUAAAAACUUCAGAUAAUCUGACUUGUGGUACUCUUAAUCUGAAUAGUCCUGAAAUCUGCUCGCAGAUAUGAUUACUGCUAGUGUCUGGUUUGUUGCCUUUGCUUGUUUGACCUUCACCCUUCUAAUUUCAGCAAGCAGCUGAGAUCUGACUUGGACUCUGCUUCUUGUACAGCUGUAGCCAGGUUCACAUGAUCCCUUGGGUUUUAAUGGAUGGAUCUGUCUGAUAAUAAGACCCAGUCCGUUAGUCUUUACCCAGAUUUUAUUGAGUCCCUACCUGGACAAAUUUAUGUUGGAAUUAAUUUACGUUUGCUCCCGUUAUUUUUAUUGGAAUGUAUUUACUCCAAUCUGUUUGUUGUUCAUUUGUUUAUUAAUAUAUUUUAGACAGCAGGAGAGGUUAGAGGAAAGUACCAAGAAAAUAAGAAUGUGGUGUUUUUACUGGAAGGGGAAAUCAUGCAGCACAAGGUUUUCAAAACAAAACAGCUUUCAGGUGAAACAGAAGAGAGUAUGGAGUGAUUACUUUAAGCACAGAAAAUCCCUUAAUUUAUGUUGAUUAAAUUAAGCUAUGUGCACAUCUUUCCAGGAACAGCUUAACCGUUAUCCUUGGGUGUUUGUUAGUACAGUAAGCAUGGAUAGUAAUAAUGAUCAAGAACUAAACAGUCAUAUCAAGACACACCAGUGUGUCAGGAACUGCUGAAUAAGUCGUAUCUGUCAGUCAGCUGGGCAGACAAGUAAGAAACCCUAUCUGGUGGGUUAGGAAAACACUUGUCUUCCUAAUAAUAGCUGUGCUCUUCAAAGCCCCUGCUUUGCAGAACCAGGUGGUGGAGUGUGGUUCUUCACUAUUAAAUCUUUUAAGUCACAGUCAAAUAGGGCAGGGGGCGGGGGAAGCUUUUUUUACUUGUUUUCAACUCUAGCAUUUAGCCAGUUUUUGAUACCUAGCAGGUUGCUUUCUGGGAGGCUGCUUUCCAAUCAUGAACACUUCCCCCUCCCCCCCCACUUUAUUUUUUUCAGUGUUACACUUUUUUCUGCAAUGCAUCAGUUCCUCUGAACUCAGUAAAAAUCAAACCCUGGAAAAUAUUUUUUUUGUCCUCAAUUUUGCACAGAAGCUUUCUCUCUUAGCUUUUUGACUUUGGUAUUAGUUCUUGUUUCUGGUCAUCUUUCCUAUUUGUCCGUCUGUUGAUUCUCUCAGACAUGUAGUUGCACAUUGCACACAGGUCCUCCUGUUAAAAAUUAUAGACUCCAAGUUUGCUGCGCUGGAUCUUCAGAGAUAUCCCUGAGGUUUCUAAUUAAACUUCACAGUGUAAUAUAUCUUUGAUAACAGCACCUAAUUGUUUACCUAUUUUUAUAAAAGAACUUGUUUACAUCUGCUGUAAAUUGAGAACAGUGGUUACACUCGCCUGAGUCAAAGGUGGGUUUCUUCACAGUGUGGGUUGCCAUAACGAAAGACCUCCAAAAAGUAACUCAUUCCUGGGGGUAUUUGCAGUGGAAUUACUCUCAUCUAAGAAUAGACCAAGAAGUGUGUUUUAUCCUGAAAACAGGGACUUACAUGUGUCUCCUAUGAUCUACAUUGACAAAGCAAAUCCCUAGAAGAUUGGAGGUGGACUUGUGUGUGUUAUCUCUUAAAGAUAAUCAGGUGGAGACACAAAGGGCUUCUUUAGAGAAGAGAGAGUCCCACAACUUGCUGCCUUUUCAUGGAGUACUACCAGCUCUGAAUAAAGGGAGGGACCAAAUGCUGUAUGGAUGGUACACUCAUUUGAAACUGAUCCCUAGCCAUGAUCUGCCGAAAUGUUACCUUGCUCUGGUUUUGGUAAAGAGGGCUUUCUCCUCUGCUGUCUGAAAAUGUCCUUAUUCUGAGUCAUACUUGGAGGUAGGGCAAGUUAUACUUGCCACCUGACUUUUGUGGUACCACAGCACGUCCAGAAAUGACCAGAAUUGUCAUUGUCAAUAUAUUUAAGCCAUUGUGAAGAAGUGUAUACUUGCGAAUACGGUUGUAAUUUACAAAAUACUGUAUUGACAGAACAAUUGCACUUGUUUCCUUUGCUUGCAAGUGAAGUAAAAUCAAUUUAUUGGCACCUGUGUGUUGGUGAUUUCAUAGGAGAAUUUUUAGAGGCCCCCUUGAUCCAUUGUUAGUUUUGAGCACUCAGAAACUGAAGUCCCAGCAGCCUACUGCGUGCCAUCUAUCCACCUCCCUUCUAGCUGCUCUCUAUUAUGAUGACUUGUCACCAUUCACUCCAUAAUUACAUUUUCAAGGUUAUUUCCAUCUUGACUCCUGAUGUGUCCAGAGCAUAUACAUUUAAACCUAUUAAUUUCUGACAACCAAGUCUACUUUUCUCCAAUAAUAUAUUUGAUAUGAGCAUUUAUCAUCUGUGCUGCCCAGGAGAUAUGCAAGGGUCUUCGCUUCCACCAUGUCUCAAAAGCAUCAGUUUUCUUCCUGUCACUAUCAAUAAUUUCUCAGAAUUCACAUUCAUAAGUUGCUACAGCAAAAAAAAAUUAAGCAUUUCACCAGUCAAAUCUUUCUACUUUUUGAGGUGGAGUGGUUUUUGGAGGCUUUUAUAAGGGAAACCAUGGAUGGAUCAAGUAUUCUUCAAGUUUUUCUAGUUUCUGUUGGACAGGUUCUGGCUGGAUAAAUUUGAUCCCAGGUAACUGAACUUAUGAACAGUCUUUGCAGCUAGACCAUUAAGCAUGAAGUUAGCUUAUAUUCUACUUUUAUUAAUUAAGUAAAGUUAUUUUAUGGCACAUUCAAGAAUAGCCUGUAUUUUUCAUUAGCCUUUUAUUGGCUCUUUAAUACUUGCUGCACAGCAGAAGUGGUUGUGACAAAAAGCGUUACGUCAUCAGUCAAAGGUCACUCGAAAGGAGCCUGUUUCAAAUUCAACUUUUCCAUUCUGUAAAGUCCUUCCCAGAUUUCCCUUCCCCCCCAGCCAAGCUGCAAGGAAAUCUGCAGUUACCUGCAGCUGUAAUAGUAGCAUAUGGCUCUUUAUGUUUGCUUGAUAUUUUUUCAAAUAAUAAGGUAGAUUUGGGGAAUUUCUGGGUGCAUGGGAAUGCUUAGAGGAAAUACCACCGAGGAAACUGGGAAAGUUUGGUAACGUAUUUAGCCCAUGGUGGCUGCCUACUGGGGGGAAGGCAGUAUGAGCAGUCUUUCCCUCUGCCCUGUUAGAUGAGAAUUGUCCUAUGUUCUGUUAAAAAAUGAUGUGUGGUACUAGCAAAUUCUGAUUAAGAGCCUCCUUUGUGAAAACUAUCGAUGGCAUUUGUGAUGCUGCUGUUCCUAAAUCUUUCACAGCUAUAAUGUCUACUGCUCGCAGUAAAGAAAUGUAUGAUACAAAACUUUACAAAUUAAUAUGAACUUGGAAUUUACCAUUAUGGUUAAAGAAAGAUGUUUGAUGAAUGGAUGUGCAGUCUCAGAGCUCUACAGUAAAUGAUGGGGUCAUUUCAUGAUGAUGGAUAGGUAUGUGGUGUACUGUUCAGAGGCUGCAAAAGGGGUUGCAUUUAUCAAACUCAGGGAAGCACCAAAGUGUUUGGGCAUGACUCUGUGAGCAAUAGAAUCAUUACCAUUUGCCUUUGAACAAAGUCAGGAAAUGUAUUGAUCAUAUGGGUUUAUGCUGCUAUGAAAGCAACUAAUGAUGAUACAAUCAAUGUGUUUUGUGAAUGACUUGGGGGGAUAAUCAUUAAAAUGUUACACCACCGUACCAUUUUGGAACUUGAAUAUGAAAAUUGGAAUUUGAAACUCUUGUAAAGCACCAUUUGCAUUUGAAUUUACAAAAUAAAAUUACUUCUUUGGAUUGUGCAGCUCUAGUCCCUUCAUCCUUACAAGUCUACUUCAGUAAACGCACUGGAUGUUUGCAUCCACGCAGGUCAUGACAGAAGAGCACACUGACAAUGUAGUGAUCCAGCAGCAGGGAGUACUGAGUAUCAGUUGAAGAAGAUUUUCCUAAAUUCAAGAUAUUUGGCAGCAGAGGUUUUUUGAGCCUGUGCUUGUAUGGGUAUUUAACAAAGUGGACAAUGCAUUGGUAUCUAAAGAGGGGACUGAAUAUCAGGUAUUGAGUAGGCAAAGACAGAAGUAGGCAAGACAAGGCAAGAGCAAAUAUAGAAAUGAGAAAAGUGCUUUCUUGACAAACAUGAAUGCUUAGUAAUACAAAAGCUGUGUUCAGAAUAGUCAGAUUUCUAACCAGAAAUUCUCCAUGAUGGAAUACAGAAAAGUCCAUGAUGGUGGAGUGAUGGCCAGAGGUGAUGAUAUUAAAUGCCAGCAGAGGAAUUACUGCUUGUAAAGUAGGCUGAUAUGUAUCCACUUACAAUUUCACCAACAUCUAAUACCACUAUUUAUAUCCUGUCUGAAUUUGGCAAGGCAGCUCAUGUGUACUCUGUGUCAUAUACUAUAACUACACUGUAUCAGGCACAUAAACACUUGCUUUCCUAAGUAUAUCUAUGUACUGUUCUUUUUAUCUUCCAGACACUGCAUACUUAUGCCUAAUCAUUUAUAUCUUCAGGGAAGCGUAUGCUAAAAUUGUAAACUUCCUUUAUCUGAGACCAUUAAAAAGGCAGACACUUUUACCCAGCAUGUGAACGUUUAAGUCACUACUUUAGAUGAACUCAGUUUUUGCUUAUGGAAUGCCAUUGGUCUAUAUUUAAUAUUUUUUAAACUUCCUUCAAGAUCUGCUCAGCAGCCACCUCUAAUCCAGCACAUGGAGAAGAAAACUUGAGUGAACCAUUUUUUCCAUCCAUUUUCAGUAUCGCUUAGCUUGACACUGCCUGGAUGCACUCUUAGGCUUGUAUCCUUGCUUCAGAAACUGGAACAAUACGUUCUUUCACACAGCUUCACAGAAAAAAGAUGUACAUGAAAAAAUAUGUUGACAAGUCUAUCAGAUUCUGAAUAUAGUAAGAGAGAACAGAACAACAUUACUUCUAGGGGAGAAAAACUUUAUCUAGCAAUAGGUCUUUCCCUUAAGGAAGCAGCUUCAUAUAGCACGUAUGAAAUAACACUAAAGGAAGUACACAAAUGCUGACAUAAUCUAUGAAUAAAAAAACCCAAGGGCUUUACAGUUUCCUGAAUUCAAGCAAAUUUGCAGUAAUAUUUAGUCUGUCUUACCAAACCCUUAUUUUGGUGUUUGUCUCUGUGUUCCUUUCUAAAAGGUUAGUCCCUUGGCCCAUUGCUGGAUACAAGAAAUGGGAACACAUGAAAAGAUUCUGAGGAAUGUAAACAGAGGAAUAAAGUAACUGAAAGAGUUCGGUGUUUGAUCAUCUAUUUGAAGAAAGCUUAAACAUGUUUUCAUGCUGGUUGUAUCAACUGUUUUGUUUUGUUUUAAUAAGUUGUCUAUUACAGAUGGGCCCAGAUCCAAAUUAUACCACCUCUCCUCCAUCCUGAAUUGUGUGUGUGAGCUAAAUCUGGUUAUAGAUACCAAUCUGAAUAUCACGAGCUAGGGCAAGGUGGAGUGGAGCUUGUCUUAAGAUCCGACUUCCUCAUUUGCUGGACAUGGAAUUGGCAUGAAUUUGUCGGGUCGGAGCUAAUUUUUACCUAGUCCUCAAAUCAUGAACUGCAGACUGCCCUGUUACAAGGAGCCACUGUCCUUUUAUGUGUCUGAAACCCUAAGGUGGACCUUAGCUGCCUGCAGCUUUCUAAAUUUUAGUUUCUUUUGUUGCUGGUGUUACUCACUGGGAAAGAAUGUGGCCCCUUUUCCAGUGACAGAGGGUGUGAAAUGUUAAAAAGUCGAAGUGAUAGGUGGAUUUUAAAGGAACCAGAAAAAAAAGAGUCAGAAUUUAUAGGAAAGCAAAAGAAGGCCCUGUUCCCCAUUCAGCAGGGACCAAAUAGCCAUGCAGUCAAUUUCCUAUCUAAAUAAUUAGGUUUUAUCAUGUGACAUACAGAGUCACAUACUGAACAAAGGGUUUCCGUAAAAAAAGUAUUCUAUACAGCUGUUUUUAAAUGCACAUCACUCCCUGCUCCAUUACCCCAUCUUGGCUUCUUGUUUCAGCAUAAGACACACAGCAUACAAGUUAUUCAAGUUUAGAAACUAGUUAGUGAAAUUUAAUUCAUAAAUUAGUGCUAGUGGGUUUAGACCAUAACAAGUUCCCUAAUUUAUUUUUAUAAGCAGUUGGAGAAAUUUGCAGAUGUUCGUGAUAGAGGUCAAGCGGAAGGGUUGCUGUAGCUAGCCACUUUUUGUGUAACAAAUGGUGAGUGAGGAAUACUGACGCCAAGCAGGAUACCUGCAAGACACUUAUAUAUCAUAGAAUUUUGAAGCCAUCAAGUUGUGGUAUCAGAAAAUUUUGUAAAAUAUGCAGGUCUGGAUAGGAUCUGUACUUGAAAAUAAGGCCUCUAUGAAACUCUUUGGGAAAAGAAAUAAAAUAGAUUUUUAAUAUUUUUUUAAUCUUCUGUUAAUUGAAGGUCAGUCACUGUGAGGUAAACUGGUUCAUAAAUCACUUAUGAUUGGCAAGCAAUUAACUUCUGGUAAAUGAAUUGUACAGACAUGGAAUAGAGUCUUGACAGGUAAAAGCAUUUGUCCAUUCAAGGGACAAUAAUAGAUGAUUAAGACUUGCCUAAAAUUCAGGCUUGUACUUAACAUUAGAUCUACUUAGAAAUUUCAUUCUGCAGCAGGAUCCAAUGUUUUUACAUUUAAAAAUUUCUGAAUUGGAGCAAACAAUAGACAUCCCAAAACCUCCAGUAGAAUGAAAAUACUGGGUUUUAUUUAGAAUCACUGAAAAGUUUUAAUGAUUUUUUUCCCCAGUAUUUUAGUAAAUGGACUGAUAACAUUUAACAUCACAAAACCCAUAAAAUAUGAAAAUAUAUAGAUUGAAAGAAGCCAAAAUGUUAGCUGAAAUAAUAUUACAUAGUCAAAUGAAAACAAUAUCUGGUGGCUUUUUUUUCUGUUUUUUAUAAUGUCCAAUUGACUUUUUCAAUAAAUGGUUUGUUUUCAAGUGUUUAAUUCUGCAUCUCAUUAUGACCUCGUCACAUCAAGUAAACUUGGGCAUUAAUACAUUUGAGGAAAUGCAUCUGUUUUGCCCUAAGGAAAACAGUUACUUUAGCUGAUACAGAAUACCUUAAUGUGAUAAAAUCCUAAUACGAGCAAGGUAGUUUGUAGCUUUUAUAUGUGUGGUGAAAGUAAACAGGUAGGAACAGUGGAUUAUUUUAACUCUCUAACACAUAGAAUAUGACAUUCUUCCAACUAAAAGAAACAAACUUCUUUCCCUUUCUGCCUCUGCCCCAUUUUUUCCUGAGUGAAGAUAAAGUCCAACAUAAGAUGAUUUGGAUUCAGUAGCUAUCACUUACAUUAGGGACUUGACUCUGGAUAAGAUAUCCCAGUGAGAAGCUCAUCUGCCCAGGAAAAUAAAAUGCUGAAGUCUCACUGCAGGUUCUUGAGUUAUGUUAGUUCUGUCUUAACCUAGAAAAUGUUAGCCCAGUUCAAAAUAAGUGCAAUUUCUUCUGCAGGUGUGGCUGUGCUCUUAACAACCGCCUGAAGGCUGUUACCUUGCAGAUUGGAAACCUGGAGUUUUUUUGUCCUGGGGCAGCUUUGUUUUAACAGCUCUGGCUUUACCAGUGAAUGGAGGCCAUUAAUGAUACUGUUCCUUGGAAACGUCCUCUUUCUUGAUACAGAGCAUGUGCGUGUCAUAUGAGAUGGCAUACAACAUUUGUUUUGUGAAAAACAGAAUUAAAUUUCUACUUCAGAAAUCAAAUUCUGGCUGAGGGAAGAGUUAUCUUUUGUAGGAACACAAGCUCCAAGAUCAUGGACAAAGUAAUAUUAACUGGAGACAGACAUUCCAAGAAGCCAAGUUAAACAUCUUAAAUCAGCAUUAAGGAAGAUCGCAGCGGGACACCUGCAGCCACGGUCCUCCUGAGGCAUUGUGCCUUGAUGGGAGGUGGUUGAAUAGAGAUGGCGGGGAGGUAUCGCAAGACAAUGGAGGGUGGGAAGGCACCCAUCUCCUUCUGGGAAUCAGAUGAAAAAGCAGGAAGAAGUGGAGACCCUGCCUAUGACUAUGUAAUUAAGUCCUAUUCUUAGAAAUCAGUAAUGGGUAAACUUAAUCAGUAGUUUUCCAAUUACAUUUUAAUGCCUGUUUGUUGACCGUGAAAUUUCUCAGAUUAACAAACUUCUGCAAAAUU